AAAGGGUUUCCCCAGAAUCUUCACAGACAGCUGACUAGGGACAGAUAUCUCUGAUAGCAUCAGGAAAAGAGAAAGAAAGCAUGUGAGCAAGAGAAUAUGCUUCAAUUUCUUGUACAAGUGAGGUGAAUUACACCUGGCCUUACAUUUUGUGGUGAGUGGAAGGGAAGAAAUGACCCUGAUUUGGACCUGCUUGCUUUCCUUUGUUUCUUCUUUUCUUCUGCUUCUCUCUCUGCUGUUGCAUCCACAUAUCAUAUUAGUUUACUUUGUUUCUGAUGGAGUCUUUUUAGAUUUACAUGUGCAAAUAAAAAUGGGCUGUUAACUUGGAAACUAUUUGGAAUGCUACUAACAGAGAAUAAAAGAUUUCUGUUAAUCUUUUCCUGGGAGGGGGAGGAGGGGGAAUAAAAUAGAGAUUUCAGAAAGCCAUUAUCUUGGAAAACCCACUCAGAGCAGGAUCAUCAGGUACUUGGAGUUGUCCACAGGAGGAGACUGCAUUAUCUUGCCUGGGAGGAGACUUGUAUUCCAUCCCAUGUUCAUCACAAGCAUUGCAAUCCCUGAGCUGGCACAGGCGUGUCCAGCUGGCACAGAAGCCCUUGAGACUGACUGCCGAUCAAGCCCAUCUAUUCUUCUUCAUUACUAGCAGCUCCUUCCCAACUCACCCUUAGGCAUGUCUGGGCAAACCUCACUGUUGAGCCGUUGUAUUUUUGGAUCUGCUCUGCAUCAGACAGCAUGGCUGUGAGCCAGUGGAUUGCCUGGGUGCAUUCUGGAAGCUCUGCACUGCAAAAGGCUGAGGCCUUUACUGGACUGCAUUUUCUUGACUGGAGCUUUCAACAAGUUGCCCAUCCAGAAGGGAGUUUGAAGAAAAGCAAAUGGCUGGGUCAAGAUGAAGGAGGCAAAUACUAACAUUCAUUUCUGUUAGAAGAAUUGGCUCAUAAGAGAAGACUCAGAGAAAGAAGUCCAGGGUAUGACUGAGUGUUGUACAGGGAACGCAUCACAAACGUCUCAGAAAUGUCAGUGCAUCCCAUCAUAAGUCAAAACAGAGUAAAAGAGUGUAGUAGCAUGAAUUACAUACAUUUGUGUGUAUGCAUGUGUGUGACUGUAUAUAUAUCUUUAAAUAGGUGUAAAUAGAAUACUUAAUCU
rnacentral:lncRNA from 1 species